CCCAUGCCCUUUCUUUCCAUCUAGGCUCUGUCUGAAGGCUUAAUUCAGCUACCUUAUCUCUCUAGGUAUGUGGAGACCAAAGCCAAGGGGCUGUUUUCCUGAGGGAAUUCACACUGAUUCGAAGAGAGAGCCUUCAUGAAGAUUUCCUGUCUGACUUCUUGAAUGGUCACAAAACUGAAGACCCGACUCUAUAUUGUGAUAACUGGACCAUGGGCUUCUGAGACUCUACUGUGCCUCUGGAUGUUGAGGUCAUACUAAGUCUGAAGGUGAAC
rnacentral:lncRNA from 1 species